rnacentral:rRNA from 1 species
CAAUAGCGUAUAUUAAAGUUGUUGCAGUUAAAAAGCUCGUAGUUGGAUUUCUGGUGGGAGCGAUCGGUCCGGCGCUUAGCGCGAGUACUUGCAUCGUCUCCGGCCAUCCUUGGGGAGAGUCUGUCUGGCAUUAGGUUGUCGGGCAGAGGAUCCUCAUCGUUUACUGUGAAAAAAUUAGAGUGUUCAAAGCAGGCUUAUGCCGUUGAAUAUAUUAGCAUGGAAUAAUAAGAUAGGACUUUGGUACUAUUUUGUUGGUUUGCGCACCAAAGUAAUGAUUAAUAGGGACAGUUGGGGGUAUUCGUAUUCCGUUGUCAGAGGUGAAAUUCUUGGAUUUACGGAAGACGAGCUACUGCGAAAGCAUUUACCAAGGAUGUUUUCAUUAA